CCAAGGAGUCUAACAUGUGCGCGAGUCACUCAGUCUUGAAUAUGCUAGAGGGGCGAAGCGAAAGCAAUUUGGUGUGAUCGCGGGAAGGGUUUGUCCCCCUGCGCGCAACACCGGCCUGCCGUUUCUUACGCAGUCUUCGGGCUGUUCGGAUUCGCGCAGCGUCUGAGCGCAUACGUUGGUACCCGAAAGAUGGUGAACUAUGCCUGGGCAAGACGAAGCCAGAGGAAACUCUGGUGGAGGUCUGUAGCGAUUCUGACGUGCAAAUCGAUCGUCAGACCUGGGUAUAGGGGCGAAAGACUAAUCGAACCAUC
rnacentral:rRNA from 1 species